AUCGCUUCUCGGCCUCUUGGCUCAGAUCAAGUGUAGUAUCUGUUCUUAUCAGUUUAAUAUCUGAUACGUCCCCCAUAGGGGGACCGUCUAUAUUAAAUGGAUUUUUGGAAGCGGGAGAUGGAAGCGGGGCUUGUUCGCCCUCUACCUUCGCCCGAACGAGCAGGUCCGACUCGUAUCGCUGGCCAUAA